rnacentral:rRNA from 1 species
UACGAGGGGAGCAAGCGUUGUUCGGAAUCAUUGGGCGUAAAGGGCGCGUAGGCGGCCUGUGCAAGUCUGGGGUGAAAGCCCUCGGCUCAACCGAGGAAUGGCCUUGGAUACUGCACGGCUUGAGUAUUGGAGAGGAAAGCGGAAUUCCCAGUGUAGCGGUGAAAUGCGUAGAUAUUGGGAGGAACACCGGUGGCGAAGGCGGCUUUCUGGACAAUCACUGACGCUGAGGCGCGAAAGCCAGGGGAGCAAACGGG